CACGCUAACAGGUCACAGAGAGGAAGGAUGCUAUACCGGUCCUUAGAGUGGCCGGGCUAAGCACACUAAGAAUAGUCAGUAGACAAGCCAAGUAAAGGGAGCCAGAAAACGGGAGAACGAGAAACAAGCCGAGGUCAAAGGAGUGUAGAAUACAGGAAAAUCGGAAUAACGAGCCAAAUAAUCAGUAACCGGAGAGAAGCACGAGCAAACUGCAAUACAGGAUCACAAGACCACAACAGGGCACUGAGAGACAGGAAAGGUAAGUAUAAAUAUCCUUUGCCUAAUUCUGAUUGGAUAACUUCCAAUCAGAAUUAACAAUCACACGUGGGAGAUAUCUACGCCUCGACUGUGAUUGUGGUACUGUUGCUUUAAC